AAUCCAUGGUGAGGGCACCUUCUCAAUAGAUCUUUGUAUCUCUCCCAUGCAUUGUAGAGCGUUUCUAGUUCCAUCUGCAUAAAAGAAGAGAUAUCAUUCCUUAAUUU
rfam:Gossypium arboreum cultivar AKA8401 contig_101785_1, whole genome shotgun sequence.